rnacentral:rRNA from 1 species
UACGUAGGGUGCAAGCGUUAAUCGGAAUUACUGGGCGUAAAGCGUGCGCAGGCGGUUUUGUAAGUUUGUCGUGAAAUCCCCGGGCUUAACCUGGGAAUUGCGAUGAAGACUGCAAGGCUAGAAUCUGGCAGAGGGGGGUAGAAUUCCACGUGUAGCAGUGAAAUGCGUAGAGAUGUGGAGGAACAACCGAUGGCGCAAGGCAGCCCCCCUGGGUCAAGA